rnacentral:rRNA from 1 species
CCAGCUCCAAUAGCGUAUAUUAAAGUUGUUGCAGUUAAAAAGCUCGUAGUCGAAUUUCUGGCUGUGCGUAUUCUCAGCUUCGGUUGAAAUAUAGUGCAGUCAUCCGUCUGCAAAACUACCACGGCCUUCAGUGGUCGGAUAGGGGAGCAGACACUUUACCUUGAAAAAAUUAGAGUGUUUCAGGCAGGUACUCGCCGGAAUACAUUAGCAUGGAAUAAUGGAAUAGGACUCAUGUUCGUUGUUGGUUAUGAACAGGAGUAAUGAUUAAUAGGGACAGUUGGGGGCAUUAGUAUUUAAUUGUCAGAGGUGAAAUUCUUGGAUUUAUUAAAGACUAACUUAUGCGAAAGCAUUUGCCAAGGAUGUUUUCA